AUCCAGACUCCUACGGGAGGCAGCAGUGAGGAAUAUUGGUCAAUGGCCGGAAGGCUGAACCAGCCAAGCCGCGUGAGGGAGGAAGGCGCAGAGCGUCGCAGACCUCUUUUGCCGGGGGACAAAAGGCCGGACUCGUCCGGUCCUGAGGGUACCCGGAGAAAAAGCAUCGGCUAACUACGUGCCAGCAGCCGCGGUAAUACGUAGGGAGCAAGCGUUGUCCGGAAUUACUGGGCGUAAAGGGCGCGUAGGUGGGCGCUUAAGUCAGGUGUGAAAACUCCGGGCUCAACCUGGAGACUGCACUUGAAACUGGGUGUCUUGAGGGCAGGAGAGGAAAGUGGAAUUCCUAGUGUAGCGGUGAAAUGCGUAGAUAUUAGGAGGAAUACCAGUGGCGAAGGCGACUUUCUGGACUGUACCUGACGCUGAGGCGCGAAAGCGUGGGUAGCGAACGGGAUUAGAUACCCCUGUAU
rnacentral:rRNA from 1 species